GUGCUUGCUUUGGCAGCACAUAUACUAAAAUUGAAUGGUGCUGAGAAGGUUAGCAGGGCCCUUGCACAAUAACAUGCAAAUUCGUGAAGCAUUCCAUAAAAAA